AGUGAACGCUGGCGGUAGGCCUAACACAUGCAAGUCGAACGGCAGCACAGUAAGAGCUUGCUCUUACGGGUGGCGAGUGGCGGACGGGUGAGGAAUACAUCGGAAUCUACUUUUUCGUGGGGGAUAACGUAGGGAAACUUACGCUAAUACCGCAUACGACCUACGGGUGAAAGCAGGGGAUCUUCGGACCUUGCGCGAUUGAAUGAGCCGAUGUCGGAUUAGCUAGUUGGCGGGGUAAAGGCCCACCAAGGCGACGAUCCGUAGCUGGUCUGAGAGGAUGAUCAGCCCCACUGGAACUUAGACACGGUCCAGACUCCUACGGGAGGGAGCAGUGGGGAAUAUUGGACAAUGGGCGCAAGCCUGAUCCAGCCAUACCGCGUGGGUGAAGAAGGCCUUCGGGUUGUAAAGCCCUUUUGUUGGGAAAGAAAAGCAGCAGGUUAAUACCCCGCUGUUCUGACGGUACCCAAAGAAUAAGCACCGGCUAACUUCGUG
rnacentral:rRNA from 1 species